GACGAACGCUGGCGGCGUGCUUAACACAUGCAAGUCGAACGGAAAGGCCCUGCUUUUGUGGGGUGCUCGAGUGGCGAACGGGUGAGUAACACGUGAGUAACCUGCCCUUGACUUUGGGAUAACUUCUGGAAACUGGGGCUAAUACCGGAUAGGAGCUCCUGCUGCAUGGUGGGGGUUGGAAAGUUUCGGCGGUUGGGGAUGGACUCGCGGCUUAUCAGCUUGUUGGUGGGGUAGUGGCUUACCAAGGCUUUGACGGGUAGCCGGCCUGAGAGGGUGACCGGCCACAUUGGGACUGAGAUACGGCCCAGACUCCUACGGGAGGCAGCAGUGGGGAAUAUUGCACAGUGGGCGGAAGCCUGAUGCAGCAACGCCGCGUGCGGGAUGACGGCCUUCGGGUUGUAAACCGCUUUCGCCUGUGACGAAGCGUGAGUGACGGUAAUGGGUAAAGAAGCACCGGCUAACUACGUG
rnacentral:rRNA from 1 species